rnacentral:rRNA from 1 species
GACAGAGGUGCCAAGCGUUAGGCGGAAUCACUGGGCUUAAAGCGUGUGUAGGCGGAAUGGUAAGUACCUUGUGAAAUCCCACGGCUCAACCGUGGAACUGCUCGGUAUACUGCUUUUCUUGAGCCACUUAGGGGCUGUCGGAACAAACGGUGGAGCGGUGAAAUGCGUAGAUAUCGUCUGGAACGCCAAAGGUGAAAACAGGUCGCUGGGGCUGAGCUGACGCUGAGACACGAAAGCCAGGGGAGCGAACGGG